UGGGGAAUAUUGCACAAUGGGCGCAAGCCUGAUGCAGCCAUGCCGCGUGUAUGAAGAAGGCCUUCGGGUUGUAAAGUACUUUCAGCGGGGAGGAAGGGAGUAAAGUUAAUACCUUUGCUCAUUGACGUUACCCGCAGAAGAAGCACCGGCUAACUCCGUGCCAGCAGCCGCGGUAAUACGGAGGGUGCAAGCGUUAAUCGGAAUUACUGGGCGUAAAGCGCACGCAGGCGGUUUGUUAAGUCAGAUGUGAAAUCCCCGGGCUCAACCUGGGAACUGCAUCUGAUACUGGCAAGCUUGAGUCUCGUAGAGGGGGGUAGAAUUCCAGGUGUAGCGGUGAAAUGCGUAGAGAUCUGGAGGAAUACCGGUGGCGAAGGCGGCCCCCUGGACGAAGACUGACGCUCAGGUGCGAAAGCGUGGGGGGCAAACAGG
rnacentral:rRNA from 2 species